GUAGUUUGAUCGUGGCUCAGGAUGAACGCUGGCGGCGUGCCUAACACAUGCAAGUCGAACGGAGUUUAUGAGGAAGAAGCUUCGGCGGAAUUCUUAUAAACUUAGUGGCGGACGGGUGAGUAACACGUGGAGAACCUGCCUCUUACCGGGGGACAGCAGUUGGAGACGACUGAUAAUACCGCAUAAGCGCACGAGACCGCAUGGUCCU
rnacentral:rRNA from 1 species